rnacentral:rRNA from 1 species
CUGUUCCUACGGGGGGCAGCAGUGGGGAAUAUUGGUCAAUGGGCGGAAGCCUGAACCGGCCAAGUCGCGUGAGGGAAUAAGGCCCUACGGGUCGUAAACCUCUUUUGCCGGGGAGCAAGGGCCGGGACGAGUCCCGGUCCGGAGAGUACCCGGAGAAAAAGCAUCGGCUAACUCCGUGCCAGCAGCCGCGGUAAUACGGAGGAUGCGAGCUUUAUCCGGAUUUAUUGGGUUUAAAGGGUGCGUAGGCGGGCUUUUAAGUCAGCGGUAAAAAUUCGGGGCUCAACCCCGUCCGGCCGUUGAAACUG